AGCGUACACGGUGGAUGCCCUGGCAGUCAGAGGCGAUGAAGGGCGUGCUAAUCUGCGAUAAGCGCCGGUAAGGUGAUAUGAACCGUUAUAACCGGCGAUACCCGAAUGGGGAAACCCAGUGUGACUCGUCACACUAUCAUUAACUGAAUCCAUAGGUUAAUGAGGCGAACCGGGGGAACUGAAACAUCUAAGUACCCCGAGGAAAAGAAAUCAACCGAGAUUCCCCCAGUAGCGGCGAGCGAACGGGGAGGAGCCCAGAGCCUGAAUCAGCAUGUGUGUUAGUGGAAGCGUCUGGAAAGGCGCGCGAUACAGGGUGACAGCCCCGUACACAAAAGCGCAUGUGCUGUGAGCUCGAUGAGUAGGGCGGGACACGUGGUAUCCUGUCUGAAUAUGGGGGGACCAUCCUCCAAGGCUAAAUACUCCUGACUGACCGAUAGUGAACCAGUACCGUGAGGGAAAGGCGAAAAGAACCCCGGCGAGGGGAGUGAAAAAGAACCUGAAACCGUGUACGUACAAGCAGUGGGAGCACCCUUUGGGUGUGACUGCGUACCUUUUGUAUAAUGGGUCAGCGACUUAUAUUC
rnacentral:rRNA from 1 species